rnacentral:piRNA from 1 species
UAAAUUUAUUGACAUUAAGAUUGGAGG